AUUGAACGCUGGCGGCAUGCUUUACACAUGCAAGUCGAACGGUGUCUUCGGACAUAGUGGCGCACGGGUGCGUAACACGUAUGCAACCUACCUUACAUUGGGGGAUAGCCUUUCGAAAGGGAGAUUAAUACCGCAUAAGACAGUAGCUGGGCAUCCAGCAGCUGUUAAAGAUUUAUCGAUGUAAGCUGGGCAUGCGUCCAAUUAGCUAGUUGGUGAGGUAACGGCUCACCAAGGCAAUGAUUGGUAGGGGAACUGAGAGGUCAAUCCCCCACACUGGGACAGAGAUACGGGCCAGACUCCUACGGGAGGCAGCAGUAGGGAAUAUUGGGCAAUGGACGCAAGUCUGACCCAGCCAUGCCGCGUGCAGGAUGAAGGCGUUAUGCGUUGUAAACUGCUUUUGUACAGGAAGAAACGACUCUUGCGAGAGGCAUUGACGGUACUGUAUGAAUAAGCACCGGCUAACUCCGUGCCAGCCGCCGCGGUAAGAC
rnacentral:rRNA from 1 species